rnacentral:rRNA from 1 species
GAGUUUGAUCCUGGCUCAGAAUCAACGCUGGCGGCGUGCCUAACACAUGCAAGUCGAACGAGAAAGUGGAGCAAUCCAUGAGUAAAGUGGCGACCGGGUGAGUAACACGUGACUAACCUACCCUAGAGUGGGGGAUAACCUCGGGAAACCGGGGCUAAUACCGCAUAACAUCACGAGGGGAAGAUCCUUGUGAUCAAAGGAGCAAUUCGCUCAAGGAGGGGGUCGCGGCUGAUUAGCUAGUUGGUGAGGUAACGGCUCACCAAGGCUAAGAUCAGUAGCCGGCCUGAGAGGGCGCACGGCCACACUGGAACUGAAACACGGUCCAGACUCCUACGGGAGGCAGCAGUGGGGAAUUUUGCGCAAUGGGGGAAACCCUGACGCAGCAACGCCGCGUGGAGGAUGAAGUCCCUUGGGAUGUAAACUCCUUUCGAUCGGGACGAUUAUGACGGUACCGGAAGAAGAAGCACCGGCUAACUCUGUGCCAGCAGCCGCGGUAAUACAGAGGGUGCAAGCGUUGUUCGGAAUUAUUGGGCGUAAAGGGCGCGUAGGCGGUGCGGUAAGACUGUGGUGAAAUCUCCGGGCUCAACUCGGAAAUUGCCGCGGUGACUGCCGUGCUCGAGUGUGGGAGAGGUGAGUGGAAUUCCCGGUGUAGCGGUGAAAUGCGUAGAUAUCGGGAGGAACACCUGUGGCGAAAGCGGCUCACUGGACCACAACUGACGCUGAGGCGCGAAAGCUAGGGGAGCAAACAGGAUUAGAUACCCUGGUAGUCCUAGCCCUAAACGAUGAUUGCUUGGUGUGUCGGGUACCCAAUCCCGACGUGCCGCAGCUAACGCGAUAAGCAAUCCGCCUGGGGAGUACGGUCGCAAGACUGAAACUCAAAGGAAUUGACGGGGGCCCGCACAAGCGGUGGAGCAUGUGGUUCAAUUCGACGCAACGCGAAGAACUUACCUGGGCUCGAAAUGGAGUGGACCGGGGUGGAAACAUCCCUUCCCGCAA